rnacentral:rRNA from 1 species
AGAGUUUGAUCCUGGGCUCAGGACGAACGCUGGCGGCGUGCCUAACACAUGCAAGUCGAACGGGGUUAUUUCUUCGGAGAUAACUUAGUGGCGAACGGGUGAGUAACGCGUGAGAAACCUGCCUUUCAGUGGGGGACAACAGUUGGAAACGACUGCUAAUACCGCAUAAUGUCAUUUAAGGGCAUCCUUGAAUGACCAAAGAUUUAUUGCUGAAAGAUGGUCUCGCGUCUGAUUAGCUUGUUGGCGGGGUAACGGCCCACCAAGGCGACGAUCAGUAGCCGGUCUGAGAGGAUGAACGGCCACAUUGGGACUGAGAUACGGCCCAGACUCCUACGGGAGGCAGCAGUGGGGAAUAUUGGGCAAUGGGGGAAACCCUGACCCAGCAACGCCGCGUGAAGGAAGAAGGCCUUCGGGUUGUAAACUUCUUUUACCAGGGACGAAGAACGUGACGGUACCUGGAGAAAAAGCAACGGCUAACUGCGUGCCAGCAGCCGCGGUAAUACGUAGGGAGCGAGCGUUGUCCGGAAUUACUGGGUGUAAAGGGAGCGUAGGCGGGACGGCAAGUCAGAAGUGAAAUAUACGUGCUCAACAUGUAGACUGCUUUUGAAACUGUCGUUCUUGAGUGAGGUAGAGGUAAGCGGAAUUCCUGGUGUAGCGGUGAAAUGCGUAGAGAUCAGGAGGAACAUCGGUGGCGAAGGCGGCUUACUGGGCCUUUACUGACGCUGAGGCUCGAAAGCGUGGGGAGCAAACAGGAUUAGAUACCCUGGUAGUCCACGCCGUAAACGAUGAUUACUAGGUGUGGGGGGGACUGACCCCUUCCGUGCCGCAGUUAACACAAUAAGUAAUCCACCUGGGGAGUACGGCCGCAAGGUUGAAACUCAAAGGAAUUGACGGGGGCCCGCACAAGCAGUGGAGUAUGUGGUUUAAUUCGAAGCAACGCGAAGAACCUUACCAGGUCUUGACAUCGAGUGACGAGUCUAGAGAUAGGUUUUUCCCUUCGGGGACACGAAGACAGGUGGUGCAUGGUUGUCGUCAGCUCGUGUCGUGAGAUGUUGGGUUAAGUCCCGCAACGAGCGCAACCCUUAUCAUUAGUUGCUACGCAAGAGCACUCUAAUGAGACUGCCGUUGACAAAACGGAGGAAGGUGGGGAUGACGUCAAAUCAUCAUGCCCCUUAUGACCUGGGCUACACACGUACUACAAUGGCAUUCAACAGAGGGAAGCAAUACAGCGAUGUGGAGCAAAUCCUCAAAAAAUGUCCCAGUUCAGAUUGCAGGCUGCAACUCGCCUGCAUGAAGUCGGAAUUGCUAGUAAUCGCAGAUCAGCAUGCUGCGGUGAAUACGUUCCCGGGCCUUGCACUCACCGCCCGUCA